CCUACGGGUGGCAGCAGUGGGGAAUAUUGGGCAAUGGGCGCAAGCCUGACCCAGCAACGCCGCGUGAAGGAAGAAAGCUUUCGGGUUGUAAACUUCUUUUCUGAGGGACGAAGAAAGUGACGGUACAUCAGGAAUAAGCCACGGCUAACUACGUGCCAGCCGCCGCGGUAAUACGUAGGUGGCAAGCGUUAUGCGGAUUGAUUGGGUGGAAAGGGCGUGUAGGCGGGAAAGCAAGUCAGAUGUGAAAACUCAGGGCUCAACCCUGAGCCGUCAUUUGAAACUGUUUUUCUUGAGUGCUGGGGAGGCAAUCGGAAUUCCGGGUGUAGCGGUGAAAUCCGUAGAGAUACGGAGGAACACCAAUGGCGAAGGCGAAUUGCUGGAAAGUAACUGACGCUGAGGCGCGAAAGCGUGGGGAGCAAACAGGAUUAGAUACCCCAGUAGUC
rnacentral:rRNA from 1 species